UACGAAGGGGGCUAGCGUUGUUCGGAAUUACUGGGCGUAAAGCGCGCGCAGGCGGCUUUUCAAGUCGGUGGUGAAAUCCCAGAGCUCAACUCUGGAAUUGCCAUCGAAACUGUAAAGCUUGGGUACGGGAGAGGUGAGUGGAAUUCCGAGUGUAGAGGUGAAAUUCGUAGAUAUUCGGAAGAACACCAGUGGCGAAGGCGGCUCACUGGCCCGUUACCGACGCUCAGGCGCGACAGCGUGGGGAGCAAACAGG
rnacentral:rRNA from 1 species